UGUGAUGGGGAGCGAAAUUUAGUAGCGAAGUAGCUGAUUUCACACUGUCAAGAAAAGUCUCUGUCGAGGUUAAAGGUACCCGUACCGCAAACCGACACAGGUGGGUGAGGAGAGUAUCCUAAGGCCAGCGAGAGAACUGUUGUUAAGGAACUCGGCAAAAUGACCCCGUAACUUAGGGAUAAGGGGUGCCACCAGCAGGUGGCCGCAGAGAAUAGGCCCAAGCGACUGUUUACCAAAAACAUAGGUUUCUGCUAAGUCGCAAGACGAUGUAUAGGAGCUGACGCCUGCCCGGUGCUGGAAGGUUAAGGGGAUCUGUUAGAG
rnacentral:rRNA from 1 species